UCCUCCCUCUUGUCUCUCGGUUCUCAUCUCCCUCUUCCCUCAAAUCCCCAAUUCACUCUCACUUUUCCAAAUUAGGGAGUCGUAGGUUGAGAAGAAACCAUGGCAGCUCCUCCUUCCUCAUCUCGCCGCCACUUCGGCGAGAAUCAGUCACUGCCGCUCACGCCUUCCUCCGGCGUCUCUCCCUCAUCCCCUUUCUGAUCUCAAUUUUUGUUUUCGUCUUGGAACAGAGGGCAGCGGCGCGUCGUUCCAUCCCUCGCCCUCUCCAGCGAAUUCACGCCCUUCGUCUAGCGCCCUCCGUCCAGCGCUCUUCCUCUCGUCGACAUCUCAGACAGCAGCUCAUCGAUUCCUGAGCUCUUCCUCUCACGCCGAGCUCUCUGGGAUGCAGCGGCCCCCCGACGGUUUUGCAGCGCCGCCGUCCCCGCUUCGGGUACUCGGUGAGUGGAGUUCCCGCUGCCAGCUGCCAUUUCACCGCCUCCGUCUGCUGUCCGGGGUUCCGCCGUCGUCCGAUCCUUGCCGGACAGCCCCUCGUCGCCUCCGCGUCCCGGCUCGCCUUGUCGGCUUAUUCUUGGCCUAAAGCUAAGUCUCACCCCUUUCCCUUCUACUUUUUUUUUCAAUUGAGUUAUGGCAGUAACAUGUUGAGAGUUCCAUUUGCAUCUUGUGAAGCAAGUUAUGACUUUUGGGAGGAUUGUUAGCUCACUGAAAUGAGUUCAUUAUAUUGGGGACUUCAACUGCUACUUGUUCUAAGAGUUGCUACUGUCAUGAGAUUUCUACAGCCAUGAUUCUAUGUUCUUGGACCUAGUAUGAUGUUCGAAACAAAAGCAGAGGGUGUGCUAGUGUUUUACCUCUUUCUCGAUGACUCCUUCGAACACCGGACUGCCCUUAAGCUCGCCGCCACUCCUUCCUCUCUUGCUGCACUUCUUUUGAUUUGUUAAUGUUGAGAGGUGUGAGGAAGGAGAUGGUGGUGUGGCUGGUAUUUAUAGCCAAAACUCCUUCGCAUUUUGUGUCUAAUUUUUGGGAGGCGGUGAUGCUAAUUUUGGGCUGUUCCUUAGCUCCCUUUCGAGCUUUGUGAUACUGCUACUCUUACUAAGUUGAUGAAUGUUUGGGGCUGCCCUCCUUGGCAGUUUUCUCCCAGCCUUGGUGACGGAAAAAGGGAUCUGAUUCAUGCUCAUUUUGAGUAUGAACAUUGGGUUCAUUCUACUAUCCUCCUUUGUCCUAACCUCUACUUUGGUGUAAGAAGGGACUGUGACAAAAUGGCUGUCUUACUGCCUGAGCAGCCUCUUGGCUGUACAACUACAACUCAGCCUGUUUACUCUCCAUGUUCAAUCGAGCUGGCCCCCUCCCCUUCCUUUCUUAUAAGUCUAUUUUUCUAACCCCAUUUUUGUGUGAUUUGCAGGCCUAGGGGCUGCCCCUCUUGGCUGUUAUCUCAGCCUCGGUUGAUGGGGAAAGAGAGUACAUUGUUGCCUCUAAAAGGCCUUAGGGAUGAUCUCACUCCUUGGUACAUGGUUGUCCAUGCUUGGUGUCUUGUGGAAGCAUGAAUUGAGAAGGGAGGAGAGAAGAAGGGGAAAUAGGAGUUGGCUAGAAUGCCACUUGUCUCCUUGCCAAGAUAGUAUAGUCUCUAUCAUAUGUACUACCUGUGAUUCCAUCACUCUUGUAUUUCUAUUUUUUCAACAAUUUGUAAUUCAAAACUUAAAUUUCCUUGCACUUAAA